rnacentral:rRNA from 1 species
AUUGAACGCUGGCGGCAUGCUUUACACAUGCAAGUCGAGCGGCAGCGCGGGGGGCAACCCUGGCGGCGAGCGGCGAACGGGUGAGUAAUGCAUCGGAACGUACCCUGGAGUGGGGGAUAACGCCGCGAAAGCAGCGCUAAUACCGCAUAUGCUCUGAGGAGGAAAGUGGGGGGACCCGCAAGGGCCUCAUGCUCUGGGAGCGGCCGAUGUCCGAUUAGCUAGUUGGUGAGGUAAAGGCUUACCAAGGCGACGAUCGGUAGCUGGUCUGAGAGGAUGAUCAGCCACACUGGGACUGAGACACGGCCCAGACUCCUACGGGAGGCAGCAGUGGGGAAUUUUGGGACAAUGGGGGGCAACCCUGAUCCAGCCAUGCCGCGUGAGUGAAGAAGGCCU